GAGCCUGCCACCGGCAGCUUCACUCUCAGAGGCAGCGUCACCAUCCCGGGCGGAAUCUCCCCACAACCCUGAGCGCAGUGAAGGCGGCUCCCAUGCCCUCAGUGGUCCGCUUCCCGGGGGACACAGCCCACGGCCCUGCCGCAGCCUGGGGACGCCACACCGCUCUCUUCGUCCAGACCCCGCUCCCUCAAGGAGGUCAGGCCCUCUGUCCUCACCCCACACACCUCGCCAGUCCCUGGAGAGUAAGGAACAGCUGCCCAAGGCCGGCCCAUGACCACCCCAGCCCCUGCUCAGGGGCCACUCCAGGCCUGACCGCUCGCCACCUCCCAUGCCGCUACGGCAAGCUUUCCUGGUCAGCGACAGUGCUGUCCCCGACCCUCCGGUCCAUGCCACCCCCUGCUCCUGCCUCCACUAGGUGACUCUGGAAGUCAGGUGCGCUCAGGGGUGCACUGCAGGGACACCACAGAGACUAUCUACCUCCUCGGCAGCAGCACGUGGGCAGCACGAACACGGGGUGACACGGCAUGGGGCCACUUGUGUCUCAGCAGCCACGACUUCUUCUGAUACAGAAAGCAAUCUACCUAAUUGCAGAUUAGGUACAACUAUAACUAGAAGUGAAUGCUCACUUCUAGUUAUGCACUGAGACGUGCACAUGACGCACACCACACACACACACACACACAUGCACACACACAGGCACGCAGAGGCUAGAAAGUCUGCCUGUUUGCUACAGUUUCCUGUUUACUGCAGUUCACAUUUCUGCCUAUUUGACGUUCUCUUAGUCUCAGUCAUUUGUAUGCAGUGCUUGAGGAAAACAGAAUGCCCAGGAUGUGAAGUGUCGCGGCCAAGAGCCUGCUUUGACAAAGCUUGUCAUAGAGGCCCCGGAAGCAUCUAGAGUUCAGAGGAGCCGUUGCUAAUUAAGUCUGACAGUUUCCCCUUCCUGGGGAGUGCCCAGCGUGUCCCCGCAGAAACGCCGUGUGCAAAAUCUCCAUCCUCAGGGAGCUGCAGCACACGGUUUCCUUCUGCUCCUCAGAGAUUCAUAAAACCAACUGAAAACACCUUUGCAAAUGGUAAAGAAAAAAGGCAAACAGCAAAGCAAAACGUCAGACAGAGUGGUUAUGUCCCAAGGCACUUCCUUACAAUUUUGCGAGGCUCAGUGUGAAAGGAGUGCUGCCCAGUGCCCCGGGAAGCUUGUUCAUUGCACUCACACCUGGAUUUCAGCAGACCUGGUGGAUUACCUGCAGAGAAUUAGCAAUGUCACCAUUAAUUAUGCAACUGACAACAAUGGAUUUGGAAAUACGGGAAAGCAUGUCAUGAAUGUUUCAACCACUGUGUCCUCAAGACUCCAUCAUCUUUAAGUACAUCAACCAUCAUUGCCUGGACCUCUUCCCCUCACGAAGAGGCCUCGGAGGUGGACUCAACCCACAGGACUUCGGCUGGUGGGUAGAGGGGUGAGCGCCCAGGAGUGGGAGCCACACACUUACGUGCCUGGGUGCAUUUGGCAUUAUUUAUUGUCUGCGUUUCUUUUCUUUUAGUAAAGGGAUUAAAAAUUG